UCCAGCGGUCCCCCGCGUUGUUCGGCUUCACUGGGCGUAAAGGGUGCGUAGGCGGUCGGGUAAGUCUGACGUGAAAUCUUCGAGCCUAACUCGGAAACUGCGUCGGAUACUAUUCGGCUAGAGGAAUGGAGGGGAGACUGGAAUACUUGGUGUAGCAGUGAAAUGCGUAGAUAUCAAGUGGAACACCAGUGGCGAAGGCGAGUCUCUGGACAUUUCCUGACGCUGAGGCACGAAAGCCAGGGGAGCAAACGGG
rnacentral:rRNA from 1 species